CAACCAACUGAGCCACACCAGCCAGGCCCUUUGACAACACUCUCUAGUACUCUACACCAGCAGAGAAACUGAAUUCUAUUAGUCUUUAUAAAACAAGGAACACAGACCUCUACUGAAAUAUGCUUUUGCUUUGCUGGCCAGAAACCAAAUAUUUCUAAAGAGCUAGGUUUGGCAUAUCUACUUUCAUGGGACCACCUGGAUACAGUCAAGUUCUGUGAUGUGGGAGCUUUUUCUCAUGAAAGCAACUUGUGUUAGAAACUUCCAGAUAAAUUCAGAGAAAUCUCCUGACCACUGAAAGGACAAACAGUUGUUCCUUAAUCGGCAGGAGAAGAAAGGAAUUCUGCC